CAGACUUGUUUCUAUUAGUGGCAUUCCACUUCCUAGGGAUAAAUUCCUGCUGGAUUUGUUUGUCACAGGUCUAUCCUUGCUUUUCACAUGCGUCGUAUCCAUCUUGCUAACAGCUUUGGUGAUUUUGAAGCUAAAAAUGAGAGCAGAGAAGGGUGAUGCCAUCAUGAGGUUUACACUGAAGGCCAAACAUGUUAUCUGUCUGUCGGCUGGAUGUUUGGUCAGUGUGGUGACAGGUGGAUGCAGAUGUCUGUAUAGUUUCUGUGUAAAUGAAGACAAAAUCCCCAU